GACGAACGCUGGCGGCGUGCUUAACACAUGCAAGUCGAACGAAGUGGCGAACGGGUGAGUAACGCGUAAUCAACCUGCCCUUCAGAGGGGGACAACAGUUGGAAACGACUGCUAAUACCGCAUACUGAAGGAGGGGAAUGCGUCUGAUUUGCUAGUUGGGGGGGUAACGGCCUACCAAGGCGAUGAUCAGGCGGCUGGUCGGGGGGAUGAACCGGCAAAAUGGGACUUGUGCACGGCCCAGACUCCUACGGGAGGCAGGAGGUGGGAAUCUUCCGCAAUGGACGAAAGUCUGACGGAGCAACGCCGCGUUAGUGAUGACGGCCUUCGGGUUGUAAAGCUCUGUUAAUCGGGACGCGGUACCGGAAUAGAAAGCCACGGCUAACUACGUGCCAGCAGCCGCGGUAAUAC
rnacentral:rRNA from 1 species